AUUGAACGCUGGCGGCAGGCCUAACACAUGCAAGUCGGACGGUAGCACAGAGAGCUUGCUCUUGGGUGACGAGUGGCGGACGGGUGAGUAAUGUCUGGGGAUCUGCCCGAUAGAGGGGGAUAACCACUGGAAACGGUGGCUAAUACCGCAUAACGUCGCAAGACCAAAGAGGGGGACCUUCGGGCCUCUCACUAUCGGAUGAACCCAGAUGGGAUUAGCUAGUAGGCGGGGUAAUGGCCCACCUAGGCGACGAUCCCUAGCUGGUUUGAGAGGAUGACCGGCCAACCAGGAACUGAGACACGGUCCAGACUCCUGCGGGAGGCAGCAGUGGGGAAUAUUGCACAAUGGGCGCAAGCCUGAUGCAGCCAUGCCGCGUGUAUGAAGAAGGCCUUCGGGUUGUAAAGUACUUUCAGCGGGGAGGAAGGCGGUGAGGUUAAUAACCUUGCCGAUUGACGUUACCCGCAGAAGAAGCACCGGCUAACUCCGUGCCAGCCGCCGCCGUAA
rnacentral:rRNA from 1 species